rnacentral:ncRNA from 1 species
GAAUUGCAAUUAUUUCCCUUGAACGAGGAAUUCCCAGUAAGCGCGAGUCAUUAGCUCGCGUUGAUUACGUCCCUGCCCUUUGUACACACCGCCCGUCGCUACUACCGAUUGAAUGGUUUAGUGAGGUCCUCCGAUUGGACCCGGUCCGGGCGGCGACGUCCGAGCCGGCGUCCGAGAAGACGAUCUAACUUGAUCAUUUAGAGGAAGUAAAAGUCGUAACAAGGUUUCCGUAGGUGAACCUGCGGAAGGAUCAUUA